CCUACGGGUGGCAGCAGUAGGGAAUCUUCCGCAAUGGACGAAAGUCUGACGGAGCAACGCCGCGUGAGUGAUGAAGGCUUUCGGGUCGUAAAACUCUGUUGUUAGGGAAGAUCAAGUGCUAGUUGAAUAAGCUGGCACCUUGACGGUACCUAACCAGAAAGCCACGGCUAACUACGUGCCAGCAGCCGCGGUAAUACGUAGGUGGCAAGCGUUAUCCGGAAUUAUUGGGCGUAAAGCGCGCGCAGGUGGUUUCUUAAGUCUGAUGUGAAAGCCCACGGCACAACCGUGGAGGGUCAUUGGAAACUGGGAGACUUGAGUGCAGAAGAGGAAAGUGGAAUUCCAUGUGUAGCGGUGAAAUGCGUAGAGAUAUGGAGGAACACCAGUGGCGAAGGCGACUUACUGGUCUGUAACUGACACUGAGGCGCGAAAGUGUGGGGAGCAAACAGGAUUAGAUACCCCUGUAGUC
rnacentral:rRNA from 1 species